CUAGCAGGCUUGUUCGGUGACAUUUCGUUCAUCCGUCGGCCUCUCCUCUCAGAUUCGUCGUCGGUUCGUUCGGUGUCGCUCGACUUGUGAUGGGAAGACGCAUGAGUGGUCGCCGGGAUAAUGUUCCGCACAGGCUCCAUGCUUCUGGCAUCGAGCUGCGUUAGCGUAUCCCCUUCAUUUGUGGGCUCGCGUCGGCGUUUCGAGCGUCGGUUGCGACCUCUCGUCGGGUUCUUGCGCUUGAUAUCGCAGUCGAAAGUCGGAACGAAUCCAUACCCUUGUUGUGGUUUGUCGGUCCUCAGUCGCCUCGCGCGGCGUCGGUGGUCAUUUUGCUGGCGUUGGCCUUCGCCUUCCGGGCCGUAGCCCCCUUUUGCCGGGCUCAUGCUCGUAACGGAGCAUCGAUGCUACGGGCUCUUUCGCUUACGGAGAAUUUUUGGUUAUCGCAUCGGUCCGCGACCUUUGUGAGCGUAACGUUUCGAAGCAUCCCCACUUCUGCUAGUACGACUCUCGUUCUCGUCUUGGGGCUUGCGAAGCCUCUUCGUUCCACGUUCUUCUCGGGGAGCCAUCGAGGUCAUCAACGGAAUGCUACCUGGUUGAUCCUGCCAGUAGUCAU
rnacentral:misc_RNA from 1 species